GAUGAACGCUGGCGGCGUGCUUAACACAUGCAAGCCGAGCGAGAAGUUUUGAAAAGAUUCUUCGGAUGAAAUUUAAAAUGGAAAGCGGCGGACGGGUGAGUAACGCGUAGGCAACCUGCCCCAUACAAAGGGAUAGCAUUUGGAAACGAAUAUUAAUACCUUAUGAAACUUAACUAGUGCAUGCUAGGUAGGUCAAAGAUUUAUCGGUAUGGGAUGGGCCUGCGUCUGAUUAGCUAGUUGGUGAGGUAACGGCUCACCAAGGCGACGAUCAGUAGCCGACCUGAGAGGGUGAACGGCCACAUUGGAACUGAGACACGGUCCAAACUCCUACGGGAGGCAGCAGUGGGGAAUAUUGCACAAUGGGGGAAACCCUGAUGCAGCAACGCCGCGUGAACGAUGAAGGCCUUUGGGUCGUAAAGUUCUGUUCUAGGUGAUGAAAACUGACAGUAACCUAGGAGAAAGCCCCGGCUAACUCCGUGCCAGCAGCCGCGGUAAUACGGAGGGGGCAAGCGUUAUCCGGAAUUAUUGGGCGUAAAGGGUACGUAGGUGGCCUUUUAAGCGUAGGGUAUAAGGCAAUGGCUCAACCAUUGUUCGCCCUAUGAACUGGAAGGCUUGAGUGCAGGAGAGGAAAGCGGAAUUCCUAGUGUAGCGGUGGAAUGCAUAGAUAUUAGGAGGAACAUCAGCGGCGAAGGCGGCUUUCUGGACUGCAACUGACACUGAGGUACGAAAGCGUGGGGAGCAAACAGG
rnacentral:rRNA from 1 species